CUUCCGGGGACGCUGGGGGCGCGAGGCAACGGUGCCAAGUGAGACCGAGAAGGCGUAGCUGAGCCGCUCGUGAGCCACAUAGCUGCAGCUUGCCAUCUUGGAGUCCAGCUCGUCGCUCUGGAGGACCUGGUAGAGGAAGUCGAUGUACCUGGCCGCCAGCUUGAGGGUCUGAAUCUUGCUCAGCUUGUCCGAGGGCAGCGUGGGGAUGAUCUUCCGCAGCGCGGCGAACGCCUCGUUCAGCGACUGGGUGCGCUGGCGCUCCCGCACGUUGGCCAUGACCCGCUGCGUCUGCAGCUCCUCGU
rnacentral:lncRNA from 1 species